rnacentral:rRNA from 1 species
UACGUAGGGGGCUAGCGUUGUCCGGAAUCAUUGGGCGUAAAGCGCGUGUAGGCGGUUCGUUAAGUCAGAUGUGAAAGCCCCGGGCUCAACCUGGGAACUGCAUUUGAAACUGGCGGGCUUGAGUGCGGCAGAGGGGGGUGGAAUUCCGCGUGUAGCAGUGAAAUGCGUAGAGAUGCGGAGGAACACCGAUGGCGAAGGCAGGUCUCUGGGCCACUACUGACGCUGAGAAGCGAAAGCAUGGGGAGCGAACAGG